rnacentral:rRNA from 1 species
AAGAACCUUACCAGGUCUUGACAUCCCAGUGACCNCUCUAGAGAUAGAGUUUUCCCUUCGGGGACAUUGGUGACAGGUGGUGCAUGGUUGUCGUCAGCUCGUGUCGUGAGAUGUUGGGUUAAGUCCCGCAACGAGCGCAACCCUUGAUCUUAGUUGCCAUCAUUUAGUUGGGCACUCUAAGGUGACUGCCGGUGACAAACCGGAGGAAGGUGGGGAUGACGUCAAAUCAUCAUGCCCCUUAUGACCUGGGCUACACACGUGCUACAAUGGACGGUACAAAGAGUCGCAAACUCGCGAGAGCAAGCUAAUCUCAUAAAACCGUUCUCAGUUCGGAUUGUAGGCUGCAACUCGC